UAGAUGCGUUGUUUUUCGUUACUCGUUACGUUUCUCGUUAUAUUAUUCUGUGCUCAAUAAUAAUAUUAAAACGAAAUAGAUCGACGAACAUUUGUUUGCCAAAAAAGAGUUGUUACUAAAAUAUGCUCUAAAAAUUUACAUAUUCUAGAAAAUAAACAAUCAAAUCAAGUGUCAUUGUAGGAUGACAAUUUGCAAGUCCAACUCAAGUAGGUACUACAAGCCAGAGCCUAAAAUACUAUGUCUCCUGAAUUACAAAUGUGUGU